rnacentral:rRNA from 1 species
AUUGAACGCUGGCGGCAUGCCUUACACAUGCAAGUCGAACGGCAGCACGGGAGCAAUCCUGGUGGCGAGUGGCGAACGGGUGAGUAAAGUAUCGGAACGUGCCCAGUCGUGGGGGAUAACGUAGCGAAAGUUAAGCUAAUACCGCAUACGAUCUAUGGAUGAAAGCGGGGGAUCGCAAGACCUCGCGCGAUUGGAGCGGCCGAUAUUAGAUUAGGGAGUUGGUGGGGUAAAGGCUCACCAAGCCGACGAUCUGUAGCUGGUCGGAGAGGACGACCAGCCAAACUGGGACUGAGACACGGCCCAGACUCCUACGGGAGGCAGCAGUGGGGAAUUUUGGACAAUGGGCGAAAGCCUGAUCCAGCCAUGCCGCGUGCAGGAUGAAGGCCUUCGGGUUGUAAACUGCUUUUGUACGGAACGAAAAGGUUUGGCCUAAUAAGCUGAGCUCAUGACGGUACCGUAAGAAUAAGCACCGGCUAACUACGUGCCAGCAGCCGCGGUAA